rnacentral:rRNA from 1 species
AACGCGAAGAACCUUACCUACCCUUGACAUGGUCGGAAUCCUGCUGAGAGGUGGGAGUGCUCGAAAGAGAACCGAUACACAGGUGCUGCAUGGCUGUCGUCAGCUCGUGUCGUGAGAUGUUGGGUUAAGUCCCGCAACGAGCGCAACCCUUGUCUCUAGUUGCUACGCAAGGGCACUCUAGAGAGACUGCCGGUGACAAACCGGAGGAAGGUGGGGAUGACGUCAAGUCCUCAUGGCCCUUAUAGGUGGGGCUACACACGUCAUACAAUGGCUGGUACAGAGGGUUGCCAACCCGCGAGGGGGAGCUAAUCUCACAAAGCCAGUCGUAGUCCGGAUCGCAGUCUGCAACUCGACUGCGUGAAGUCGGAAUCGCUAGUAAUCGCGGAUCAGAAUGUCGCGGUGAACACGUUCCCGGGUCUUGUACACACGCA